rnacentral:rRNA from 1 species
CCUACGGGGGGCAGCAGUGGGGAAUAUUGGACAAUGGGGGGAACCCUGAUCCAGCCAUGCCGCGUGUGUGAAGAAGGCCCUCGGGUUGUAAAGCACUUUCAGUGAGGAAGAACGCCUGGUGGUUAAUACCCAUCAGGAAAGACAUCACUCACAGAAGAAGCACCGGCUAACUCCGUGCCAGCAGCCGCGGUAAUACGGAGGGUGCGAGCGUUAAUCGGAAUUACUGGGCGUAAAGCGCGCGUAGGUGGCUUGAUAAGCCGGUUGUGAAAGCCCCGGGCUCAACCUGGGAACGGCAUCCGGAACUGUCAAGCUAGAGUACAGGAGAGGAAGGUGGAAUUCCCGGUGUAGCGGUGAAAUGCGUAGAGAUCGGGAGGAAUACCAGUGGCGAAGGCGGCCUUCUGGACUGACACUGACACUGAGGUGCGAAAGCGUGGGUAGCAAACAGGAUUAGAUACCCCUGUAGUC